rnacentral:rRNA from 1 species
AGUGAACGCUGGCGGUAGGCCUAACACAUGCAAGUCGAACGGCAGCACAGUAAGAGCUUGCUCUUACGGGUGGCGAGUGGCGGACGGGUGAGGAAUACAUCGGAAUCUACUUUUUCGUGGGGGAUAACGUAGGGAAACUUACGCUAAUACCGCAUACGACCUACGGGUGAAAGCAGGGGAUCUUCGGACCUUGCGCGAUUGAAUGAGCCGAUGUCGGAUUAGCUAGUUGGCGGGGUAAAGGCCCACCAAGGCGACGAUCCGUAGCUGGUCUGAGAGGAUGAUCAGCCACACUGGAACUGAGACACGGUACAGACUCCUACGGGAGGCAGCAGUGGGGAAUAUUGGACUAUGGGCGCAAGCCUGAUCCAGCCAUACCGCGUGGGUGAAGAAGGCCUUCGGGUUGUAAAGCCCUUUUGUUGGGAAAGAAAAGCAGCAGGUUAAUACCCCGCUGUUCUGACGGUACCCAAAGAAUAAGCACCGGCUAACUUCGUG